GGGAAAGGGGAGGGGAAACUUUAAAACUACUAAUGACUCGAACUAUUUGUCCACAGAUACGGAUUCCAGUCCUCGAUAACACUCCUCUUCAGCCCUUCCUCGACACACUCCACUUCAGCCCUUAAUUUCCAGCCGACUCCACUCCAGGUAAGUUUAAAGCAAGAGCUAGGCAGUUGACGUGCAGGGACUUUCUGGCUCUGGGGGGGGUGGACUUCAAGACCCAAGGCUGAGCUGUUAGCGUGCAGGGGUUCUAGCUCCCAGGUAAGUACAGAUUUCAAUACACAGGUGGGUAUUCACAGGGCUGAGCUGUUAGCGUGCAGGGGUUCUAGCUCUCAGGUAAGUACAGUGUCCAAUACGCAGGUGGGUAUUCGCAGGGCUGGGCUGUUAGUGUGCAGGGGUUCUAGCUCACAGGUAAGUACAGCGUUCAAUACACAGGUGGGUAUUCGCAGGGCUGGGCUGUUAGCGUGCAGGGGUUCUAGCUCCCAGGUAAGUACAGAGUUCAAUACACGGGUGGGUAUUCACAUGGCUGGACUGUUAACUGGCUACUCACCACUGAAGAUAUUCAGAGGUCGGUAUUCCAAGCAGAUACGGGUUUGGUCGAUGACUGACGGCUGGUGGGCCUUACAGGUGAGACUGCAAACAAUACUGGGCUUCCCACCCACCUUGGCAAGGGGGCACACGGGGGAGGAUCGGCUGUUGUCCUUCGCUUCCC
ensembl:lncRNA